rnacentral:rRNA from 1 species
GGAGUCUAGCAUGUGCGCGAGUCAUUGGGACUCUACGAAACCUAAAGGCGCAAUGAAAGUGAAUGUCCGUCUCGUGCGGACCGAGGGAGGAUGAGUGGUCUCUAGGGACCGCUCCGCACUCCCCGGGCGUCUCGUUCUCAUCGCGAGAAGAGGCGCACCCAGAGCGUACACGCUGGGACCCGAAAGAUGGUGAACUAUGCCUGGUCAGGACGAAGUCAGGGGAAACCCUGAUGGAGGUCCGUAGCGAUUCUGACGUGCAAAUCGAUCGUCGGAACUGGGUAUAGGGGCGAAAGACUAAUCGAACCAUCUAGUACGUGGUUCCNUCCGAA